GAUGAACGCUGGCGGCGUGCCUAAUACAUGCAAGUCGAGCGAACGGACGAGAAGCUUGCUUCUCUGAUGUUAGCGGCGGACGGGUGAGUAACACGUGGAUAACCUACCUAUAAGACUGGGAUAACUUCGGGAAACCGGAGCUAAUACCGGAUAAUAUUUUGAACCGCAUGGUUCAAAAGUGAAAGACGGUCUUGCUGUCACUUAUAGAUGGAUCCGCGCUGCAUUAGCUAGUUGGUAAGGUAACGGCUUACCAAGGCAACGAUGCAUAGCCGACCUGAGAGGGUGAUCGGCCACACUGGAACUGAGACACGGUCCAGACCCCUACGGGAGGCAGCAGUAGGGAAUCUUCCGCAAUGGGCGAAAGCCUGACGGAGCAACGCCGCGUGAGUGAUGAAGGUCUUCGGAUCGUAAAACUCUGUUAUUAGGGAAGAACAUAUGUGUAAGUAACUGUGCACAUCUUGACGAUACCUAAUCAGAAAGCCACGGCUAACUACGUG
rnacentral:rRNA from 1 species